CGGGUGACAGUCAACAUGAGGAGCGCGAGGAUUCUGCAGCAGAUCGUCAGAAGACAGAGCCUUCAUCAUCAUCAUCAUCUUCACACCAAGAGCUCUGUGGGGAUCAUCGGAGCUCCUUUCAGCAAGGGACAGCCUCGUGGCGGGGUCGAGAGGGGACCGGACCUGAUCCGAGCUGAAGGACUGCUGCCCAAACUGCACGAGCUAGAAUGUGCAGUGAAGGAUUAUGGGAACCUGGUGUUCGAAGAGGCGGAGCUUGAUGGGCCGGAGGGCGUGCUGAAAAACUUGAAGGCGGUUGGCAGCUUCAACCAGAAGCUGUCGCAGGCGGUGCAGCUAGUGAAGAAGGACGGACACACGACUGUGAUGCUGGGAGGAGACCACAGUCUGGCGAUCGGCUCCAUUCACGGUCACUCGGCGGCGGUGGGAGAGCUGGGUGUCGUCUGGGUCGACGCCCACGCUGACAUCAACACGCCGCUGACCACGUCGACUGGAAAUCUGCACGGACAGCCCUUGUCGUUCCUCGUGAAAGAGCUGCAGUCCAGUGUUCCCGUGCUGCCGAGCUUCUCGUGGCUCAAACCGUGCAUCUCGUUCAAAGAUCUGGUCUACAUCGGACUGAGAGACGUGGACCCCGGAGAGCAUUACAUCCUGAAGGAGCUCGGGGUGAAGAUGUUCUCGAUGUCAGAGGUGGAUCAGCUCGGAGUGUCCAGAGUGAUGGAGGAGACGUGUGACUACCUGUCCUCCAGAGGGAAUAAACCGAUCCACCUGAGCUACGACAUCGAUGCCAUCGACCCCACUGUCACCCCAGCAACCGGGACACCUGUAGUGGGCGGGCUCUCAUACAGGGAGGGGGUCUACAUCACAGAGUGCCUCCGUGAGACAGGUCGUUUGUCGGCGGUGGACCUGGUGGAGGUGAAUCCUCUCCUCGGUAAGACCGAGGAGGGCAUUCAUUCUACCGUCAGCACGGCGGUCGACGUGCUGCUCGGCUGCUUCGGGCGCCUCCGUGAGGGAAACCACCCCUCAGAUUACGAGCCCCCCAAGCCAUGAAGGUGGACGACGCUGUCCUCUCCUACUGCACUGAUGGACACUUGAACAUGUCUGAGCACCUGAUCACUAUUACUCUGCCAAAUCAUGAACUCCACUACCCAGAAUGCCUUUAGCCUGAUGUCAGUGUGCUGCACACGCUCGCUGUUUGAUUUGUGACACUUUUACCAAAGAUAUUUUAUACCUGUGGCCGUCCACACAGCAAUCAGAAUCUAAUCUACAAUCACAUUUUCAUUUUUUAUCCAGAGUUAUUCAUCAUUUUUUGGAGACAAAAACUGAAGUUUCAGCUUCUCAAAUGUUUUUUCACUUUUAAAGUUUGGACUAAACAAGCGAUUAGAAGAAUAUGACAUCAUCGUAGGCAUUCUCUACGGAGUCUUGAAAAGGUCACAGAGACAAAAUAUUUCAUGAAAAGACAUGCAAAAGCAUGACUAUAAAGAAAUGAGGAUAAAUCUGUUUUCCCGUUGAGAGUUUCUCAACCUCACAGUAAAAUAACUAUAAAUAUGUUUGGCUCAAUGAUGAUGUAAAGUAGUAAAAAGUUGAUGCUGCUAAUAAGCUAUAAAAACGUUUAACAAGGUACUCUAACGAUGAUAGUUUGACUUCUGAAAAUCCCCUUUGUGUUCUCAGUAGUGCUCUUAAGACCGGCCUCUAGACCACAUUUUGAAGGUCUCGUCCUGGAAUCGAAAGCAUUUUACUCGGUCUCAGAAUGGAUGGACUCCGGAUUUUUAAUCAAGACCACCACUGAUUGGCUAUUUUCCCAAGUCCUAUCUCUGAGUAAGAUGAAAACGCCUCUUUCUAAAAGAACAAAUGACUUAAUAACUCAUUCAUAGUUUGAUUUUUGACCGUUUCUCAGUGACAUUUAUGGUCCUGGUCUUGACUUGGUCUUGGAGCACUCUGAUCUUGGUAAGUGUGGUCUUGACUACAACAUUAGUUCUCAGCACUCUAAACAUUAAUCUAUGAUGGGGUUCUCGGGAUCCUGAAGAUUCCUCGGCAGGCAGUUUUCAUUGCUGAAUGAUUAUCAUAGUUACUCUGAUUGAGGGCAGGACUAACCAUGACGUCAACGUCGUUUGGUAACUGGAUUUGAUCUUGUAUAUUUCUUUUCACGUCUUCUGACGACUGAAAGUGCUUUUACUCUGCAGGUCACACCUACACAUUCACACACUGAUGGUAGAGGCUGCUGUGUAAAGAGUCCAUCAGUAUUAACUCAUCCAUUCAUACACAUUCACACACUGAUGAUAGAGGCUGCUGUGUAAAGAGUCCGUCAGUAUUAACUCAUCCAUUCAUACACAUUCACACACUGAUGGUAGAGGCCGCUGAGUAAAGAGUCCAUCAGUAUUAACUCAUCCAUUCAUACACAUUCACACACUGAUGGUAGAGGCUGCUGUGUAAAGAGUCCGUCAGUAUUAACUCAUCCAUUCAUACACAUUCACACACUGAUGGUAGAGGCUGCUGUGUAAAGAGUCCGUCAGUAUUAACUCAUCCAUUCAUACACAUUCACACGCUGAUGGUAGAGGCUGCUGUGUAAAGAGUCCGUCAGUAUUAACUCAUCCAUUCAUACACAUUCACACGCUGAUGGUAGAGGCCGCUGUGUAAAUAGUCCGUCAGUAUUAACUCAUCCAUUCAUACACAUUCACACGCUGAUGGUAGAGGCCGCUGAGUAAAGAGUCCGUCAGUAUUAACUCAUCCAUUCAUACACAUUCACACGCUGAUGGUAGAGGCCGCUGUGUAAAUAGUCCGUCAGUAUUAACUCAUCCAUUCAUACACAUUCACACGCUGAUGGUAGAGGCCGCUGUGUAAAGAGUCCGUCAGUAUUAACUCAUCCAUUCAUACACAUUCACACGCUGAUGGUAGAGGCCGCUGUGUAAAUAGUCCGUCAGUAUUAACUCAUCCAUUCAUACACAUUCACACACUGAUGGUAGAGGCUGCAGUGUAAAGAGUCCGUCAGUAUUAACUCAUCCAUUCAUACACAUUCACACGCUGAUGGUAGAGGCCGCUGUGUAAAGAGUCUGUCAGUAUUAACUCAUCCAUUCAUACACAUUCACACGCUGAUGGUAGAGGCUGCUGUGUGAAGAAUCCUGACCUCUUGGUUGGCUCUGUUCACACAUGCAGCUCGGCUUGAAAACUUCAGGGGUGUUUCAGGAGUCUUGUGCGAACAAGGCUUUGGAGUAAGGUUGUGACGACUGGCGUUCUCUGAUAUGCACGCCACUUUGUUUAAACUAGUGCAAUAACCAAAUAUGAUGUAUUCUUCUGUAUUAAAGAGUUCACAAGAUGUUUAACUGACGCUGUCUCACUAUCCUCACCUUUAACACACCUUUAGUCUUAUUUAUUCUGUAUUUGUUCUGCUCAAAUAAAAAUCAAAGUCCAAACUUCA